AUAAAUUUUAUCGAGAAAGUCGGUUAUUAUGUUGUACUUGUCGAUGUUUUCCAGUCUUAGGAACUCGUGUAUGUCAUUUUAUUUUAAAAGUGUUGGAAAAUUUCGUCUGGUAGCAUUAUAUUUGGAACAGCUGAGGAUUAUAUGAGACGCAUUAUCGAUAGUAUCGCAGGAUUCACAUCUGUAAAAUUCAAUUUAAUAAUCUAAGUUUUUUUGGUUCUAGGUUACUGUAAUAUUAUACAUUAAGUAUUUUUAUAGUUUCAUAGAUACUAAGUAUUAUAAUUUUAUCGAAGGAUGGUCACAUUAGUAAGCGUGGCGAAACAUGGAAAAUAUAUAAAAAGCACAUGGCUUAAACUAAAAAUAAAUAUGUAUAUCGUUUUAAAAGCUUAUUAAAUGGUGUAAGAAGUAAAAAAUUAUUUGUUAAAAUUAAUCGAGCACUAUCAGAGUUGGAUUGCUCAAUACUGGCACAAGAAUGGCCAAAGUGGAAACGAAGCUUUCUUAUGUACAUGUUGGCUUCUGGAAAAGAUGCGGAUCCAGAGCCUAAGAAGAUAGCCACAUUCUUGUGGUUGGCGGGAUCUAAAUCAACGGGAACAACAAACAAUAUGUUAGGAACUGCAGCAACGUCAGCAGACCCGUACUGAAAGCAUUCGACAGACAUAGUAUUCCAUUUCGAAGUACUACAAUGGAAACCUAUAAAUUCAAUAAUAUUAUACAGGCAGAUGGACAGCCUUUUAUUGAAUUCGAAACGCAACUACGCAAGCAAAUACAGUCAUGCGAUUUUGACUGUACCUGUGGAGAGAAGUACGAAGAAAGGAUGCUAAGGGAUCGUAUCAUUAUUGGCAUAAACGACAAAAGGCUACAACUAAAGCUUCUAGAGUCAAAAAAUAAGAAGCUAGAGGAUGUGCUAAACGAGUGUUGCUCACAAAUGCUAUAAUUGUGGAGCUAUAUUUAACCCAAAUCAUCUGGUCGAGUGUCGCGCCAAGGAGGCGACAUGUCAUGCUUGUGGAAAACUGGGACAUUUUGCGAGAUACUAAGCAGCAGAAAAAACGGAGAACAAACAAUCCUCUGGAUCUUCACUUAAUUGGUUAGAUUCAGCUUUAGAUUAAGUGAAUGCAGACGAAGUGGUUAACGGUGAACGAAAACCUUUCGAAUAAAUGGAGUAAACAUUAAAUUUAAGGUAGAUACUGGAGCAGACGUCAACUGCAUCCCAAUUAAUAUAGCAGAAAAUUUUAAAUUAGAAAUUAAAAAAGAAAAGUUCCUGGUUUUUGAUUAUAACAAUGUCGACGUUAAUAACUAUUGGCUAGGGAAAAUUGUAUUGAUCUAAAUUCAAAAAGUAGCAACAAUAUCGAAUUUUUAGUUGUCGACUCAAACUGUGAACCUUUAAUAGGUCUUAAGUCGUUGAUUGAAUUAAAUCUGAUUAAACAUUUAAAUAUAGAUUCACUCUUUAAAUUACCGACCAAAAAGGAGGAGUUUGUAGAAAAAUUUAAUCUAUUAUUUCAAGGACUUGGCAAACUACCAAAUAAGCAAUCAAUUGUCUUGAGGAGUGAUUCUAAGCCUGUUCUACAUUAUAAAAAGAUUAUAAAAAGAGUUUCCCCAAAGCUUUCUGGGAGGAUUGGAAAAAGAACUGAAUAAUAUGGUACAAGAAAAAAAAUGGAAAACUAAGACUUUGUUUAGACCCCAAGCCACUGAAUAAUGCACUAAAACGGGAACAUUACUUAAUACCAACAAUAGAAGAUUUUAUGGCACAACUAUCCCGUAAGAAAGUUUUUACAGUUCUAGACCUUUCCCAUGGGUUUUGGGUUUUGGCAAAUGAAAUUAGACGAAGCCAGCUCUGACCUAACAACUUUUAUGACUCCCUUUGGUAGAUUCAAAUUCAAUCGAGUCCCUUUUGGAAUUAAUAGUGCUCCUGAAAUGUUUCAACGUAAUAUGGUACAAAUUUUUGGGGACUUACCGAAUGUCAUUAUAUACUUUAAUGACAUAGGAGUUUUAGGCGAAAGUUUUGAAGAACAUGAUGAAACACUUUUGAAAGGUUUAAAACGCGCAAAACUAAAUGGUAUACGUUUCAACCCUGACAAGGUUCAAUAUAGGAGAGCGGAAAUUGAGUUUAUGGGUCACGUCCUCUCCGAAGGCACAAUUAAACCACAAAGAAAGCAUUUGAAAGCAAAUGAAAAAAUUAAAGCUGGAGUGUUACGCAUUCUUGGACUGUAUAAGUAUUUAGCUAAGUUUAUCCCGGACUUGUCCUCAAGAACCGCAAAGCUUAGGAAUCUUACCAGACUUGACACUCCUUUUGAAUGGACGACAGAACAUCAGAACAAACUUAAUGAUUUACUUAAAACUAUAACCAGUUACCCAGUGUCGGCAGUGUAUGAUGAAAUUAAGCCUAUUGUUAUUCAAACAGGUGCUUUAAUAGAUGGUCUUGGAUGUGUUCCUACAGAACGGACACCCAGUUUUGCCACGCGAACUCUUACAAAAACUGAACAAAAAUGGGCUUAAAUAGAAAAAGAGCUACUAGCCAUUGUUGUUGCCUGCGAAAGGUUUUAUUAUUAUAUUCACGGUCGGGAAUUUUUAGUACAAAGUGAUCACAAGCCUUUCGAAGUUCUUCUAAAACGGGACAUCGAUUCAGUAACGAUGAGGCUGCAACGAAUGGUUCUUUAUCUACUGAAAUAUCCUAAUAUGUCCAUUAAAUACACACCAGGGAAAGAUAUGUUAGUAGCUGAUUGUCUUUCACGAGCGCAACUACCGGAUGAAGUAGAAAUUCAAGGCUUAGCCACAGUGGUUCACACAGUGACCCGAGCAGCAUGCUUAUCGGAAGAAAACUACAAUUGUUAAAGCAGAAUUUUAGCAAAUGACGAAAAUUAUCAGAAGAUAGUCGAGUUCGUAGAAAAAGGAUGGGCAUCUUUUCAUAAGUUAAAUAAGUUUUGUCAGGAGUUCUAUAAACAUAAAUCAGAAUUGCACUUUGAACAUAGACUCCUUUUUCGCUUAUGCAAAUUAGUAAUCCCAUCUAAAUUGCAAAAGCAGAUCUUAAAGCAGGUACAUGACCCUCACUUAGGCAUGGAGAAAACAUUAGCUAGAGCACGUAAACUGCAUUAUUGGCCAAAUAUGAAUUCCCAGAUAAAAGAGCUUCUAUUCGCUUGCGAAAUUUGUGAGAAGUUUCGUAGGAAAAAUCCGAAGGAACCCAUGGUAGGAAUGGACAUCUUUCAUUACGGUGGAAAGGAUUUCCUUAGGAGUAGCAACUGGAAAAAAUAUCCUAAAACGUUGCUCACGUUGCUCAGUAAAUGAUUAUCAAUAUAGGAUCCUUGAAUACAACGCUACCCCAGUAGCAAGUUUAGAUCUCGCGCCAUGCGAAUUAUUUUUUGGAAGAAUGUGCAAGACCAAGUUGCCAAUAAAAAAGACUGCACUAUAUAGAAAUAUAAUUAAUAAAGAAAUAAUCUCACAAAAGUUUAUCGAAAAAAAAAAGAAACAAAAAAAAUAUUACAACAUGCACUCAAGAAGCCUGCGUCCAUUUAUUAAAGGUGAUAGGGUUCAGUUUAGAAAAAAAGAAAAUGAAUGGGUUAAAGGAGUAGUCGAAAAAAGAGUAAAUUAAAGGUCUUAUAUCAUAAUAAAAUAAGUGGAAAAAAUGCCUGUGAAGAUAUUGACUAUUUUCAUGAUUGUAUAAGUAUAAACUUAAGUAAAAACAAAGAGAUUUCAAAAAUGAAUAGUAAUUUAAGUCAACCAGAAAAUGAUGUUAGAUUAAGUGAGACUGAAAAUAUUAUUAUUAUUGAAAA